rnacentral:rRNA from 1 species
GACGAACGCUGGCGGCGUGCUUAACACAUGCAAGUCGAACGGAAAGGCCCUGCUUUUGUGGGGUGCUCGAGUGGCGAACGGGUGAGUAACACGUGAGUAACCUGCCCUUGACUUUGGGAUAACUUCAGGAAACUGGGGCUAAUACCGGAUAGGAGCUCCUGCUGCAUGGUGGGGGUUGGAAAGAUUCGGCGGUGGGGGAUGGACUCGCGGCUUAUCAGCUUGUUGGUGGGGUAGUGGCUUACCAAGGCUUUGACGGGUAGCCGGCAUGGGAGGGUGACCGGCCACAUUGGGACUGAGGUACGGCCCAGACUCCUACGGGAGGCAGAAGUGGGGAAUAUUGCACAAUGGGCGGAAGCCUGAUGCAGCAACGCCGCGUGCGUGAUGCCGGCCUUCGGGUUGUAAACCGCUUUCGCCUGUGCCGAAGCGUGAGUGACGGUAAUGGGUAAAGAAGCACCGGCUAACUACGUG